GAUGAACGCUGGCGGCGUGCCUAAUACAUGCCAGUCGAGCGAACAGACGAGGAUCUUGCUCCUCUGACGUUAGCGGCGGACGGGUGAGUAACACGUGGAUAACCUACCUAUAAGACUGGGAUAACUUCGGGAAACCGGAGCUAAUACCGGAUAAUAUAUUGAACCGCAUGGUUCAAUAGUGAAAGACGGUUUUGCUGUCACUUAUAGAUGUAUCCGCGCCGCAUUAGCUAGUUGGUAAGGUAACGGCUUACCAAGGCAACGAUGCGUAGCCGACCUGAGAGGGUGAACGGCCACACUGGAACUGAGACACGGUCCAGACUCCUACGGGAGGCAGCAGUAGGGAAUCUUCCGAAAUGGGCGAAAGCCUGACGGAGCAACGCCGCGUGAGUGAUGAAGGUCUUCGGAUCGUAAAACUCUGUUAUUAGGGAAGAACAAAUGUGUAAGUAACUAUGCACGUCUUGACGGUACCUAAUCAGAAAGCCACGGCUAACUACGUG
rnacentral:rRNA from 1 species